ensembl:lncRNA LINC00491 long intergenic non-protein coding RNA 491
AGUAAAAAGCCUCUUCCUCAAUCUCUAUGACCUGCCUUCUUUUUCCAGUGCUGCCUCUCACAGUUUUCCAGGUGUAUUCCACAUUGUCUCUACUAGUGAACUAGGAUAAUCCAUUGUGUAUCUCAACCUCCUUCACUACCCUGUGAAAGUCACAUGUGAGAAGAAGCAUCACAGAUGAUUCCAUGGAGAACAUCCUGGAAGUUCUCCAAAUGGGCUUUUGGCUCAAUUCUGAAUAAACAGUGAACAUCCAUGUGGGAGCAAUGAGGAGGAACUGUAGCAUCUGAACUGGAAAUUCCCUGUCUCCCCUUAACCAGCACUGGAAGCAGAUGGGAAGAGAAUAGCUGUGACUGACUCACACUCUAACCCAGCAACCCUCAGCAUACAAGUGGGAGACCAUAAAGUUUUUCAAGACCCCAAAAGAGGCCAAAGGUCUGAUAAUUGCUGGGAGAAGGUCCACUAUCCAAGAAGAGAAGAGGAAAAGGAAUUAAAGUCUCCAAGCACUGGGGAUGCAAGAAGAGAGUUGCACAGGAGAGAAAGAAGAAGUUGUCCACGGGGUGACCCUGCAAUUGGAGGGAAAUGCAUGUGGAUAUGUGCAGGGAGUCUAGGAAGUGAAGCCUUAGUGAUCAUUUACAAGAAUGAGGGUUAGGUAAAAUAAGGGAUGCAAAGCCACCUGUAGUCUAUUCUAACCUCACUCCAUCACUCUAUACAAUCUGUGUUUUAUCAUCUGAAAUGUUAAGUAAAGACCUGUUUGGGUCUUCUUCAGAAUCCCAUACAUUUGAGUUCAUUAGUCAGAAAAAGGGAAAAUACCACCACCCCAUCCUGGAAUGGCAGUCAUGUACACUUUUAUAAUGAGAGAUUGGGCAGCAAAGGGGGCCCCUUGUGGACCUCACCCAGCCAGAGAAGGAGGCAGAAUGUUUCCUUUACUAUCUUUUCCUCUCCCCAGAGGAACACUACAUAUUGUUCCCUCCAUGGGCUUAAGAGAAGGUGCCAGGGUUACAGAUAGAUAUAUCGCUAGCUGUAGAGCACAGGGUGAAUUGGGAUGUCCAUGUACAAAGCUAGGGACAGGAGAAUCAGUUUAAAGACUUUAAAAAUAAUUAGGAAAAAAAGGAAGGCCUGACCCAAAGCUUAGGAGUGCAGGUAGAGAAGAGAUGGUGCCAUGAUAUACCAUGUCUCUGGGACUUUUCUGUAUUCCUCUUCCUCUGUAUACUGUAUUGCCCUCAUUCCCUAUUUAUUCAAAAUCUGUGCUACCUCCACUGCGAAGACUUCCACGAGAAAAUUCAGAUAUUUCUUCUUUUGUGGACACUUUCUACCUUACAAAUAAGUUAAUUUUAAUUCAAGGAAGAGUUUUUCCGGAACCCUGUUGGCCUGCUCACAGGAAUGUAAGUUCCUUAAAUCUAGGGCACAGUGUCUUUGAGAACUGCAAUCACCUACAUCAACAUGACAUAGCUAUUAGGACUAAGAACAGAGACCACCUGUGUCAACAUGAGUUACUAUUUUUUUCCGUGAAACAUUUGUCCAAGAAAGAUAAGACUGUAACCAAUAAAUAGUUUGCA